GAGGCGGGGACGCCGCGCGCCACCAGCGUCUGCCACGAGUGGCGCUUGCCCCGGGCUGCAAGAAAAGUUGCGAGCACAGCCUGGAAGAGGGAGAGCAGGGGGACCUGCCUGAAAGGAGAAGCUCUUGCUCUGCACUGGAAAGACAGGAAAGGGUACCCUUGGGGCAAGACCUCACUCAGGAUCUCUGACCUAACCUGCAGCUCAAGGAGACCAGCUGGCCAGCAAGCCCCAGGAACUUGCCUGUGUCUGUGACCCCCCUCAUCACGGGACUCAUAAGUGUGUGGCACCAUCACUGGCAUUUAUAUGGGCCUGAAGAACAGCCUAUGAAAUUUGAGAGUAAUAGCAAGAAAAGAAAAAUAGACUAUGAUUGAUAGAUGGAAUGGGAGUUUCUUGUAGAGAUGUGGACGGCCAUGUGAAAUAAUACACUACUACUGAAGAACAAAAGUUUGGCACUGACCGCCUGGCUCAAGUAUUCAUUAGCUAUUUGACCUUGUCAAGUAGCUAAUCUUCAGAGUAUUUGCUUUACCUCUGUAAUGUAAAUAAAAAUCCUUCCAUAGGAAUAUUGUAAGAAAUAAAUAGGAUCAUAGCACAGUCCCUGGAAAACCACCAACUUUCAGUAAUAUUAGUUCCUUUCAUAUCUACUCCUUUCUCACUAGAGGGUAGAAAUUCUACAGUUGUUUUCAGAGACCAGAGGCAUAUAAUUUGUGGUAGUUCACAGAUACAUUCUUAUCAUUGUAGACAUAUGGUAACAUUCACAAAGUUGAGAUAUUAUUUUAUCCUUCAAAAUUAUAGAAAACACUUCCUUAUAAGUGUUAAGAAAUAGGACUGCUAUGGUAUUAAAAACUCAGUAUUCAAUUAAGAAACAUAAAGGAUGGAGAAGAAAGAAAAAUAAAUAAAAAGUGAAAUAUGAGAACUGUGGUAGAGAGUCAAUGAAAAGUUGGCUACUGAACAGUAGUAUUCCUGGAGGGAAACCAGAAUAAAUGGAAUGUAAGCUUUAUUCAAGGAUAUCAAUAGUUUCUAAGGAAGGAAACAUUCUUAGAUUGGAAAUGGGUAUGAACUGUAUUGGGAGAGGGGGAAUACAUUUAGGCACAAUGAUCAAAAAGAUACUAUUGCCCUAAAUGAGAUGUCCCUGUCAAAUCCAUCCCCUAGGGCUUGGGACCCUGAAGAGCAGGUGAAAGGAGCGUCCUUUGUGUACAUAGAAUGGCUUCUGGUAUAGUGUUGUUACGAGACGCCUGAGUGUGUCAAUGAGUGGGUCUCUACAUCCACAUGUUUCUUGUGCCUUUUCUUGAGCUUUUUCUUGUGCUAGUUCUGUCCUAUCCUUACUAUAUUACAUUGUAUUAUAUUUUAUUAUUAUCCCUUAGAAGCCUGUUUAUUUUCGAAUGAGAGACAUGG